rnacentral:misc_RNA from 1 species
GCUACGACAUCCCAUUGCGAUAACCUUUUCUUUCCCAGUCGUAUGAUCGGAUGCUUGAGGGAAAUUAUUUCCUCCUCGAAUCCCAACUGUUAGAAUUCCAUUUCCAGUUCAUCUGCUGCUUAUCUCAAAUGGGUAUUAUCCACUUUUCUUCCUUUUUCUUCCGUUUCUUCUACCCUUCGACUUGAAUGUAACCUCGUAUGCAAAUUUAUCUCUCCAUUCUUUUGUGCGUUGUUUGAUCAAUACCCAUUAGAAUUCGUUCCCUUUUAUUGUUUGAAACCCUUGUUAGUGGAUUCUCCAUCAUGGACAAUUCAGAUGGAGGUAAAAUUCAAGUUGACAAAAACACAGAUUGGGAAGAGGCGUUUUCUCGCUAUGAAAGUGUAAUAGCUUCUGGGAGUGAGUCUAUGCAAGUAAAAGCCACAAUUAGAUUAGCCCAUCUCUCAAAACAUGCACCUGAACAUGUUUUAGCUGGAACCAUACCCAUCCUUGCUAAGCUUCUUCUGACGGACAAUUCAAACAAUUUAAUUCAGUCUGUUCAAGAAGCAGCAGCUUAUUGUUUGAAGCAAAUUGCUUGUCAAGGUGAUGGCGCCUUGGCCGCAGAGAUAGGCCAAUCUGGUGUUACAAAUUCUAUCUUGAGCUUGUUGCCCCAGUCCAAUAAUAGGUUUCGAAAGGUUUUGAUAAAAUGUGUUUGGUGUCUUGUUAAUUUUGGUAAUGUGAAUCGUUUGAUUGUAGCUAGAAAUGGUGGGUUGGAGAUUGUUAUAGAUAUGUUAAAUUCUUGUAGGGAUGGGGACAGGCUGUACUUGUUGGAGAUUUUGAGUGCAUUGACAUUGUUAAGAGAGGUUAGGAGGGUACUUGUUAGAUUAGGAGGGCUUAGAUUUCUUGUUGAGGCGGUUAGGUUUGGUAGCAUGAUAUCGAGGGAGAGAGCUUGUCAAGCAAUAGGAUUACUUGGUGUUACGAGGCGUGCUAGGUCCAUGCUUGUUGAAUUGGGAGCAAUCCAGGUGCUUGUUGAAUUAUUUCGAGAUGGAGAUAGGACAACAAAACUUGUUGCAGGUAAUUGUCUAGGUGUGAUAUCAGCUCAUAUAGAUUUCGUAAGGCCUCUUGCUGAAGCCGGCGCUAUACCUUUAUAUGCUGAGCUUCUUCAAGGACCUGACCCUGCUGGCAUGGAGAUUGCAGAGGAUGCAUUCUGUAUAUUAGCUGUUGCUGAAGAGAAUGCAGCUUCUAUUGCUGAACACUUGGUGAGAAUCUUAAGAGAAGGUGAUGAUGAAGCAAAAAUUGCAGCUUCUGAUAUUAUCUGGGAUCUAUCAGGUUACAAGCACUCAGUUUCAUUUGUUCGAAACUCGGGUGCAAUUCCUGUUUUGGUCGAGCUUUUGAGGGAUGGGAACGGUGAAGUUAGGGAAAAGGUAUCAGGAGCUAUUGCUCAGUUGAGUUACAAUGAGGCUGAUCGAGCAGCACUUGCUGAUGCAGGGGCAGUUCAAACUCUCAUUGAAUUAUUGCAUGACGAGUCAGAGGAGAUGAAGGAUAAUGCUGCCGAGGCUCUAGUGAAUUUUGGUGAAGAUCCUCGGCAGCGUGAUAUAAUAUUGGAAGCAGUUGAUAUUACUUCAUUCCAGGGUAUGCAGAAUAGAAUGGCUCGACUUCGUUUUUCUGAUGAGCGCAUUGUUAGAUCACUGAGACGGGUGAACCAGCAGCUUACUUGGGACCCAGUUCUGACCUAAUUUUCUUGUAUGAUAUUUCUUUAAUCUCUGCUGCCUGUAAAUUGCUAAAAUUUUAGUUAAAUUGAUGGUAGUAUUUUAUUGCCACUGGAUAUCCUUGCUUGAUCAGCUUUCAUCUGUUUCAUAGGCUCGUAAGUUUUAAAGCUUUACACACGUUGUGACAAAGUGGCAAUUAAUGAUAUGUUGUUUU